rnacentral:misc_RNA from 1 species
GAUGAAGAACGUAGCGAAAUGCGAUAAGUAAUGUGAAUUGCAGAAUUCAGUGAAUCAUCGAAUCUUUGAACGCACAUUGCGCCCGCCAGUAUUCUGGCUGGCAUGCCUGUUCGAGCGUCAUUACAACCCUCAGGCCCCCGGGCCUGGCGUUGGGGAUCGGCGGAGCCCCCCGUGGGCACACGCCGUCCCCCAAAUGCAGUGGCGGUCCCGCCGCAGCUUCCAUCGCGUAGUAGCUAACACCUCGCGACUGGAGAGCGGCGCGGCCACGCCGUAAAACACCCAACUCUUCUGAAGUUGACCUCGAAUCAGGUAGGAAUACCCGCUGAACUUAAGCAUAUCAAUAAUCGGAGGA